rnacentral:rRNA from 1 species
GACGAACGCUGGCGGCGUGCUUAACACAUGCAAGUCGAACGGAAAGGCCCUGCUUUUGUGGGGUGCUCGAGUGGCGAACGGGUGAGUAACACGUGAGUAACCUGCCCUUGACUUUGGGAUAACUUCAGGAAACUGGGGCUAAUACCGGAUAGGAGCUCCUGCUGCAUGGUGGGGGUUGGAAAGUUUCGGCGGUUGGGGAUGGGCUCGCGGCUUAUCAGCUUGUUGGUGGGGUAGUGGCUUACCAAGGCUUUGACGGGUAGCCGGCCUGAGAGGGUGACCGGGCACAUUGGGACUGAGAUACGGCCCAGACUCCUACGGGAGGCAGCAGUGGGGAAUAUUGCACAGUGGGCGGACGCCUGAUGCAGCAACGCCGCGUGCGGGAUGAAGGCCUUCGGGUUGUAAACCGCAUUCGCCUGUGACGAAGCGUGAGUGACGGUAAUGGGUAAAGAAGCACCGGCUAACUACGUG